rfam:Dichanthelium oligosanthes cultivar Kellogg 1175 unplaced genomic scaffold Do_version_2_scaffold219, whole genome shotgun sequence.
UAGCUUUUGUCUUAAGUCAAACUUAUCUAACUUUGACCGAGUUUAUAGAAAAAUAGAAUAACAUCUACAAUACCAAAUAAAUGCACUAUCAAGACAUAUUUCUUGGUGGAUUCAAUGAAACUAAUUUGAUGUUGUAGAUGUUGAUGAUUUUUUCUAUAAACUUGGUCACAGUUAGAGAAGUUUGACUUAGGACAAAGCUAAA